rnacentral:rRNA from 1 species
GGGCCCGCACAAGCGGUGGAGCAUGUGGUUUAAUUCGAUGAUACGCGAGGAACCUUACCAGGGCUUAAAUGUAGGUUUCAUGAUCUAGAGAUAGAUCUUUCUUCGGACUACCUACAAGGUGCUGCAUGGUUGUCGUCAGCUCGUGCCGUGAGGUGUCAGGUUAAGUCCUAUAACGAGCGCAACCCCUAUCGUUAGUUGCCAGCGGGUCAUGCCGGGAACUCUAGCGAAACUGCCGGUGCAAACCGAGAGGAAGGUGGGGAUGACGUCAAAUCAUCACGGCCCUUACGUCCUGGGCCACACACGUGCUACAAUGGCCGGUACAGAGAGCAGCCACUACGCGAGUAGGAGCGAAUCUACAAAACCGGUCUCAGUUCGGAUCGCAGUCUGCAACUCGACUGCGUG